rnacentral:rRNA from 1 species
AUGCGCGGUAGAGGAGCGUUCCGUAAGCCGUUGAAGGUGGAUUGAGAAGUCUGCUGGAGGUAUCGGAAGUGCGAAUGCUGACAUGAGUAACGAUAAUGCGGGUGAAAAACCCGCACGCCGAAAGCCCAAGGUUUCCUUGCGCAACGUUAAUCGGCGCAGGGUGAGUCGGCCCCUAAGGCGAGGCAGAAAUGCGUAGCUGAUGGGAAACGGGUUAAUAUUCCCGUACUUCUUAUAACUGCGAUGGAGAGACGGAGAAGGCUAUGCCUACCGGGCGUUGGUUGUCCCGGGGAAAGGCUGUAGGCUGAGGUGUUAGGCAAAUCCGGCACCUUAAGGCUGAGAGUCGAGACCACUGGUCCUUUGUGACCGGGAAGUGGUUGAUGCCAUGCUUCCAGGAAAAUCUUCUAAGCUUCAGGUUAUAAGGAACCGUACCCCAAACCGACACAGGUGGUUGGGAUGAGUAUUCUAAGGCGCUUGAGAGAACUCGGGUGAAGGAACUAGGCAAAAUGGCACCGUAACUUCGGGAGAAGGU